rnacentral:rRNA from 1 species
CAGUCGCCACGGUAAUGCGAAGGGGGCUAGCGUUGCUCGGAAUGACUGGGCGUAAAGGGCGCGUAGGCGGCGAUCAAAGUCAGGCGUGAAAUUCCUGGGCUCAACCUGGGGGCUGCGCUUGAUACUUGGUUGCUUGAGUGGGGAAGAGGGUCGUGGAAUUCCCAGUGUAGAGGUGAAAUUCGUAGAUAUUGGGAAGAACACCGGUGGCGAAGGCGGCGACCUGGUCCUUGACUGACGCUGAGGCGCGAAAGCGUGGGGAGCAAACAGGAUUAGAUACCCCUGUAGUCCCUGUCUCUUAUAC